rnacentral:rRNA from 1 species
AUGGGUCCCGCGGCGUCCUGCGUCCCGGUGGCGAGUGGAGGGCGAGGAGGCAGAUGGGGUCGCGGCGACAGGAGCGUGUACACCUACGGCUGCACCUCAAGGCCGCAGGCUUCCAAGCUCGCGCCAACGAGCGAUCUCGCGCCCAAGGGUCAAGCCAAAUCUGAGAUAGAAUGGAUGGAAGAGGGCUAUCUUGAUAAAAUUGUUCAUGGUGAUUGUGCCAACGAGAUUAAAGUUGGUGAAGUAUACAUCUACUGCCCAAAGAACGUAAUUUGUUUGAUUCUGGAAGAAGAAGGUGACAGAGAUAAGUUCAAAGGUUACAAACCGUCGGCUGCAGAUGUAUCAAAGGCUACGAGAGAACCUCCCAAGCCUAACAAUGAGGUCCAACUGUCAAGUGUAAAAGGCACCGGUCCUGACGGUGGUAUUCUGAAGGCAGACAUUGAAGAUUACUUGGCUUCUGUAGCCAAGGGUGGCAAGAGCGAGUCUUUUGCAGCUUCAGGAUUAGAUUGCACUGAUAUUCCAAAUGCGCAGAUAAGAAAGGUUACUGCAGACCGCCUCUUAGCCUCUAAAGAAACCAUCCCACAUUACUACUUGACAGUUGACACACCCGUCGACAAACUUAUCAAGUUGCGAGGGGAACUGAACCCACUGCAGGAAGCAUCUGGUGGAAAGAAGAUAUCUAAAGACCUUGUUAGAAAGGAUGCAGACAAGACAGGACUUGCUACAAUCGGUGAGGAGGUGAAGCAGUUGGCUCAAAGAGCGAGGGAUAACAGCUUAAGACCACAAGACUAUGAGGCAUUUAGUGAUUUUCCAGAUUGUUUCUGUAGUGAUAGGGGAGGCUACCCUGGGUCUAAUAAUGGAAAAUGCAAUUAUAUCUCGAAGAUGAAUUUUUAUCUCAGGGCUGGUUCCAUGAGUGAUGAUGUGAUACUAGUUUCUGAUGGAGAGGAAUCAAGUAAUUAUUCUCUUCGAUUUGAAGAGUUAAAGGGUUUUAAGAAUUCCUCCAACAGCUCAAAGGGCCUAGUGCAGAAGAUAGACAGCGACUAUUAUACUGAGGGAGUUUCUCAGGUGUUUCUACAUCUCUGUGGCACAACAAUUUCUCAUCAGGAAAAUCUGUACACUUCAAAUGUGAAUAUGUUAAUGAAGGUGGCAUGUGAUAAAGUGGGUGUAAAAUCCAAGGAUUUUUACUCAAUUUAUUGUGGAAAAGUGUUGGAUCCUGAGCAACUUCUAUCCUAUUAUAAGAUAAACAAGGAUUCAAAAAUCAUAAUUAAUCCAAGACUCAGAGGUGGCUGUGCUGGUCACAACUGGGAUUAUGUAAUCAGUGAUCUGGAUCCAUACCAGCGUGUGCCUUUGCCAGGGGACCUACUUCUCCCGGAACAGGCCAUCAUACAGCCACAAAUGGAAGUUAAAUAUCUGGCACGUCUCCUCCAAGUUCGAUGUAAAAAAGUGCUAAUCUACCUGUGCCGGAAGCACUUUAGUGGCCAUUCCUUCGGAGGUAACUUCAGUUCCCAGCAAAUUAUGUUUGACACCGAUGGAAAUGUCCGUAUCGAUGCUGCCCCAGAAGAAUAUAGUCGGCCUUCUGCCUUGUUGGACUACAAUGCUGUUUCUGUAAUCUUUGACCGGGCCUUAGGAGACGCAGCUGACAAAUAUCCAAUGGAUUUUCAUCAUCUGAUUGCGUUCUUGUCAGCUAAAGGUCCAAAUGUUGACUGUCAAAGUAAGGCAGUGAUUGCUUUUGUCACAAAUCACAUUUCUCUCUUGACAUAUUCUGAAAGGAUCAAUCACAGUGCAUUUCUGGACCUUUUGAUUAAAAGGCUUGGUGAAGAUGAUCUAACCGCCUUGAUAAAAGCUCUCGCGAAUUUUAAUUGGGAGAACAGGUUGAGGCAGAUUCCAGCAAUGGAUAAAACGUACACUUAUAUUUGGUGGGAAGAUGAUGAGGGGAACAUACGGUACCCGUACAAGAAUAAUGGAGUCAGUUUGCUCGCGUUUUCUCACAAUUUCUUCAAACACCGCUUAGGGUUCCCAUUAGAUAAGCUUGAAGCAGCGUUCUCAUUGGUGGUGGCUGAGAAAUAUUUUCUAGCACAUAUGCUGUUUCAAAUUUUAGUUAGAUUCAAAAGCAAAUGCCAGCAGCCAUGCCCUGCAUCGAUUGAGACUUUUGUUGAUGAAGUGAUUCAAAUGCUUGGUGAUCACACAGUUGAUUGUGAGAUGGUCCAAAAUAACUGA